UAAAACACAGCGGAAUUUUUUUUUUUUUUUUUUGAAAACCUGACCCUAGGGUAUGCCAGAUCCGCCACAAAUACAGAAAAUCCACUGUUCACACGGACAGAGUCUCCCCUGUAUUUGCACGGCGUCGCACAAGUACAAGAGUAUAACCAGAAUAAAACCACCAUAAUGAAUAAAAAAUAAUCACUAUUCAUUCACCAUUCAUCACAGAUUUACCAUUCAUAGUUCAAGCAUAAAUCUACGAAAAACCUUUUGAAAACUGUUCCCUACACGGAAACUUUUAUCUUUUAAAAAAGCUACCACGAGGGGUAGAAAACCUUUUAUUUACGAAAAUUCAGAAAUCUUUAUCUCAUUCGGAAAACCAAUUAUAAUCUUGAAUAACUAAACAUAAUGAAAUACUGAACCAUGAAAUAUUAAAGCUAUUAAUAACAAAAGUAAACAGGGUAGGAACUAAACCAACAAACUGGGUCGGAAGCUCUAGCGACCACUACGAACGUGUCUCACGUCUCGUCUCAACUCUCACCGCC
rnacentral:lncRNA from 1 species